UCUUUCUUUCUUUCUUUCCUUCCUCUUUCUUUCUUUCUUUCUUUCUUUCUUUCUUUCUUUCUUUUUCUUCCUUCCUUCCUUCCUUCCUUUUUCUUUCUUUCUUUCUUUCCUUCCUUCUUCUCUUUCUUUUUUCUUCCUUCCUUCCUUCCUUCCUUCCUUCCUUCCUUCCUUCCUUCCUUCCUUCCUUCCUUUCUUUCUAACUAAAGAAACUCCAAGAUAUCUUUCAACUCUAAAAGCCCAUUAUUUUAUGAUGCUGGAAGGCAUAGUUUCUUCCAU
rnacentral:lncRNA from 1 species